GCGUCGGCUUUGCAGCAGGGUUCGGGGGCAUGCCAAAUGCCCUCCGAAGGCAGAGGUCACAGGUUCGAAUCCUGUCGGGUGCGCCA
rnacentral:tRNA from 1 species